rnacentral:lncRNA from 1 species
AGAAACAUGGCAGAGAACGUCACAGUCCAGAAAGCAUUGGUAAUAUUCCACAGUGGCCGGCAGAGAAGGUAGGUGAUCAACUUAGAAGCAAAAGAAUAUAUUGUAUAUACAUUGUAUAAGGUUGAAAGAAGGUUGACGAAUUCUCUGUAUCACUACGGAGAGAGCGAGAAGGAGAUCAAUUAACAAGCAAGUGGUUAUGACAAUGAAGGUCAUGUCUGCAGGAUUUUCCCUCCUUGAUAUAAACAUUGGAAAAACCACAAAUAUGGUGCCCGUGGCCAGUGGGUGGAAUGGAAGCCCAUAACAUCUGUCCUGGCUGCUAGGGCCACCAUUAAAGUGGAAUCCAAAGUCUCCCGUGUAGCUUUCUUUUGAUCUGUGAAUAGUGACAUAUGGUUUCUCAACUUAUCAAACUAGAUUUAAAGAUAGUUGUGUCACCUCUUUGGAAAAACCACCUCUUGGGCCCCAAUGCUAAUCAGGCCUUAUUUUAAAUCAUGAAGAACAGGGAGAAAUGAAAAAGGAACAGUCACCCUCGCCAGGCUGACUACUUUUUCUUCCAUGAAAUUUCGGAGGCUGGGGUCCCUGUCUUGUCUUUUUUAAUGGGGUGCUUUGGAGAUGCAGCUGUGUUAGUGCUCAUGUGCAUUGGGCCGGCUGGUUGUGGCCAGUAUUCAUGUGCUCCAUUCUAUGAGCAUGCCACGCGUUUCCCUAUUGUCCUCUGAAUGGAUAUCGACAUUGCGGUUCAACUCCUAAGUCUACGCCAAGGAAAAAUGAGUGAAUGUGAACAGGAAAAGACUAGUGCAAUAAUGCACUAGUCUUUUAUUUUAUUUAAUAAAAUAAAUCUGAGGACCUUGGGGGGGUAAGGUGGAUAGUAAGAAGCAAUCUCAGGGAAGAGCAAGAGAGAGACAUUGCUGCAGGGUGAGGUAGAAAUUGGGAGCAGAGGUCCAAGAGGCAGGGUCCACGUUGGAAAGUAUUUUGUGUCCUGCAGCCUCAAUUCAAAUGCUAGGUGUUUUUAUUGUCCCCUCUUUUACUCUGUGCUGCUAAGAUGACGUAUCACAUAUCCCUGGUCUCGGGAGGAUCGGGUUUUGCCGAUGCAGGUGGGCUGAGGAGGAUGAGAACAGCCUGGGUCUAGGUUUCUCUUAGCUAAAUUAUAGCCCCGUCUAAAUGCCUGAGCCUCAGAAUUCGUCUUCCUGACCUCGAUUUCCACAGCCCUGGCACACGGACAGCCGAGAGUCGAUAAAGUGCUAGAAGAAGUGCCUCUGGUAGAAUUGUUGGAAUAGACCUCACGGCACCUGCAUUCUCCACUGUGCGCUGUUAUUAGUGACGGAGUCAGCCCAAAUAUAUCCUCAGGCCUUAGUGGCGUAGCACUUGUGACCAUGAAAUAGUGGCAUGUGCUUACAGGGCUCUCAGAUUCUCUCAGCUCCCAAACCUACCAAUCGUUUGAAGUCUUCUUGAUUCAUCCACGAGUGCCUUGAUAUCUCCUUUAAUUUCUUUAUUUAGUCUGCUGUCUCUUGAAAACCAUCCUCGGGACAAACGUAGCUGUAGACACGGCUCUGGCCUUUGAUGUACCAAGGCUCUACUUACGAUUUUUAAAGUACCUGAUGGUUCAGAAGUAGUCCUCCUCCUUGGGGCUGGGGAUGUGGCUCAAGUGGUAGCGCGCUCGCCUGGCAUGCGUGCGGCCCGGGUUCGAUCCUCAGCACCACAUACAAACAAAGAUGUUGUGUCCGCCGAAAACUAAAAAAUAAAUAUUAAAAUUCUCUCUCUCUCUCUCUCUCUCUCUCUCUCAAAAAAUGAUUAGAUGUUGAGUGUAACCUGAUGAAUGGAUUAAUCCACUUGAACGGAUCAACUGAGUGGUAACUGUAGGUAGGUAGGGUGUGGCCGAGGGAGGUGGGCACUGAGGGUAUGCCUUUGGAUUUUAUUUUCUGUCCCCGGUGAACAGAACUUAGUGUCUCUCUGCUUCCUUGUUCUCAUGUCCUGAGUGGGUUUUUUUUCCGCUGUGUCCUGUCUAUGAACUACCUUUCUGUCUGGGUCUGUAUAUCUUUCCGUGUAUCUAGUAGAGACAGGUAGAGAUGCUACCCUGAAAUCCACAAGGCAAGCCCCCGGAAGGGCAGGAGGAGCUCACCACUCAGCCUGAAGCUGGCUUCCUGAGGCAUAGAUUUCUCCUCCUCCUUCAUGUUUCCAAGUAUCACUUCUGCGUUUCAAUGCCUUUCAACCCUCCGGCCAUCUGGGACAGCCAACUGAUGGUGGCCUCCACUUUCACGUCUUCCUGACAGCACCCACGCUGCUGUCUGAAUAGCUGAAUGCCGUAGCCCAGCCAAGCUGGCUCAUUAGAAAUGCCAGCGCUCUCCUGUGUGCCUAGAGGGAUGGUCGGUCUGCUGGCCAGGCUUGUGCACCCCAUUCCUGUGGACACAUCCCUAAAUGCCCAGUGCCCGCGGGAAGGGGGCAUGCGCUGAGAGUGCGCCCCAGUGGGGGGUACCCAGGGUGUUGUCUGGGGAUUUCAUGGAGCUGUGUGCGUAAGGCACCUUUCACCUCUGCCAAUCACCAGUUCCCUAGGAGAACAGGUCCUCCUCCUCUUAAAAAUCCCUGCAGCAGAAUCUCCUGGGGACACUGUUGGACAUGUGCUGGGAGCCAUUAGCCAAGUAGGUAUGACAAUUUCCUUGCCAGCGUACCCCAUGUUGCAGUGACAUUGAAUGUAGGUGACCUUGCUCAAGGACCAAGGCGGAUUAGGGCGUUCCCGGUUUAGGUUCCAGGUUUAAGGUUUAAGAUUAUUCCUGCUGGGAAUAGGGCGUAUCCUGCUGCCUGAGUUCCCCUUGAGUUCUCACGGGAUUCAGACAGUAUAUUUUGGAGAUAGAAGCCCAGUGGAGGUGGAUUUGGGCAGAGAACGUGGAUUUCCCCAGAACGUGAUUGUAGACGGCUGGUGUGAGUUCGGGAAUAAAGAGUUGCUGUUUGAAUCUACAAGCUGUGGCUCGUGAUUGUAUGUCCGGAUGUCCUUUCCUUCCCAGUUCUGCGUUAGUAGGUCUGUCUUAGGAGGAACCAAUCACUUACAUCUUUACCUACCAUUAAAAUAACACCGAGAAAUCAUAGUAAAAGAGGACUUCAAAGCAAUUGAAAAUACAUUUACAAGUCAACAUUAUAAUCAUAGCAAAAU